GACCUGGCUCAAAGCUGUUUCCUAUUCUAGACAUUUUUCUUUUUAUUCUUGAUUUAGAAAUUGGUACCAACUUUAGCCCUUCUUAGUUGCAGGAACUCACUUUCUCAAUGAUUUUUACCUUCAGCAAGACAUGGAUAGUUACAGUUGGCCCAUGAGUCUCUGGCUCAGUGUUAGUGUGACUACCCAAUCCAAAUGGCAUUGAUUAGUCCUCCAAAAUAAAACCUUCACUUUCUCCUUCAGAACUCUCAUGGUUUCCUUUGAAGGAGGUCAUUUUUAUCAAAACAACAGCCAACAACAAAGUGAUAGAGCCGAUGAUACUUCAAUGUUAUCCUGCCCUGUUUUAUAAGUUGUCCAUAGAUUAACUCAAAGGAUCACAUCUUUAUACUUUUAACCAAAUGAUUAUUUCUGUGAUUGUCUUUGCAGCUGGGCUCUGCAUGGUGUGGCUCAUUGAUCUCAUACCUUAGUAUUCGCUUCUGCGGGUUUGUGCAGCAGUCCACAGUUGUCGAGGAAGGAAGAAAAGUACAGCCUUAAGGAUAUCAGCAGUCAAGGGACUGAAGUCAAAGGUCAUUUAACUGCAGGACUGAAGUUAAGUUGUCAUCAUCAUAAAAGUCUGGAUGAAGGACUCAGUGAGGAUGGGCUCAGUCUGAACA
rnacentral:lncRNA from 13 species